rnacentral:rRNA from 1 species
AAUGGGUCAGCGACUUAUAUUCUGUAGCAAGGUUAACCGAAUAGGGGAGCCGAAGGGAAACCGAGUCUUAACUGGGCGUUAAGUUGCAGGGUAUAGACCCGAAACCCGGUGAUCUAGCCAUGGGCAGGUUGAAGGUUGGGUAACACUAACUGGAGGACCGAACCGACUAAUGUUGAAAAAUUAGCGGAUGACUUGUGGCUGGGGGUGAAAGGCCAAUCAAACCGGGAGAUAGCUGGUUCUCCCCGAAAGCUAUUUAGGUAGCGCCUCGUGAAUUCAUCUCCGGGGGUAGAGCACUGUUUCGGCAAGGGGGUCAUCCCGACUUACCAACCCGAUGCAAACUGCGAAUACCGGAGAAUGUUAUCACGGGAGACACACGGCGGGUGCUAACGUCCGUCGUGAAGAGGGAAACAACCCAGACCGCCAGCUAAGGUCCCAAAGUCAUGGUUAAGUGGGAAACGAUGUGGGAAGGCCCAGACAGCCAGGAUGUUGGCUUAGAAGCAGCCAUCAUUUAAAGAAAGCGUAAUAGCUCACUGGUCGAGUCGGCCUGCGCGGAAGAUGUAACGGGGCUAAACCAUGCACCGAAGCUGCGGCAGCGACGCUUAUGCGUUGUUGGGUAGGGGAGCGUUCUGUAAGCCUGUGAAGGUGUACUGUGAGGUAUGCUGGAGGUAUCAGAAGUGCGAAUGCUGACAUAAGUAACGAUAAAGCGGGUGAAAAGCCCGCUCGCCGGAAGACCAAGGGUUCCUGUCCAACGUUAAUCGGGGCAGGGUGAGUCGACCCCUAAGGCGAGGCCGAAAGGCGUAGUCGAUGGGAAACAGGUUAAUAUUCCUGUACUUGGUGUUACUGCGAAGGGGGGACGGAGAAGGCUAUGUUAGCCGGGCGACGGUUGUCCCGGUUUAAGCAUGUAGGCGGAGGUUCCAGGUAAAUCCGGUACCUUAUUAACGCUGAGGUGUG